GAUGAACGCUGGCGGCGUGCCUAAUACAUGCAAGUCGAGCGAACAGAUGAGGAGCUUGCUCCUCUGACGUUAGCGGCGGACGGGUGAGUAACACGUGGAUAACCUACCUAUAAGACUGGGAUAACUUCGGGAAACCGGAGCUAAUACCGGAUAAUAUAUUGAACCGCAUGGUUCAAUAGUGAAAGACGGUUUUGCUGUCACUUAUAGAUGGAUCCGCGCCGCAUUAGCUAGUUGGUAAGGUAACGGCUUACCAAGGCAACGAUGCGUAGCCGACCUGAGAGGGUGAUCGGCCACCCUGGCACUGAGACACGGUCCCGACUCCUACGGGAGGCAGCAGUAGGGAAUCUUCCGCAAUGGGCGAAAGCCUGACGGAGCAACGCCGCGUGAGUGAUGAAGGUCUUCGGAUCGUAAAACUCUGUUAUUAGGGAAGAACAAAUGUGUAAGUAACUAUGCACGUCUUGACGGUACCUAAUCAGAAAUCCACGGCUAACUACGUG
rnacentral:rRNA from 1 species